GGGAAUAAAAGCUGGCCACUGGCGCCAGCAGGGGCAAUCUACUCGGCUCCUCUUCCACGCUGUGGAGGCUUUGUUCUUUCCUUCUUCACAAUAGAUCUUGCUGCUGCUCACUCUGUGGGUCCGCACUACAUUUAUGAGCUGUAACACUCACUGCGAAGGUCUGCAGCUUCACUUCUGAAGUCAGCAAGACCACGAACCCACCGGGAAGAAAAAACAACUCCAGACGCACCACCUUUAAGAGCUAUAACGCUCACUGCGAAGGUCUGCGGCUUCACUCCUGAAGUCAAGCGAACCCACUGGAAGGAAGAAACUCAGGAACAUCUGAAGGAACAAGCUCCAGACACACCAUCUUUAAGAACUGUAACACUCACCACGAGGGUCCGUGACUUCAUUCUUGAAGUCAGCGAGACCAAGAACCCACUGGAAGGAACAAUUCCGGACACACUGAAAAGGCAAGUGACACACAGAAGGGAAGCAACUUAUCCAAGAUCUCAAUUGUUAGUGGAAGAAGCUGGCUGUCAACCGAAGUCAGUGUGAGAUGACCUCAGUGCUUUCUUAUCCAGGUCAGGAAACACUGGGAGAUUGAAUUUAAAUUUGAAGGUUGUUUGGUAAAUAUGGAAUCAGAGAAAUCAAAAUCACAUGGCCUCAAAAGAUGAUACUUUUGUCAAGCUAUGAAGCCUGGUGAGUCAUUCCUCUCCACUAAGGGGUUAUGUCUGCCAAUGUAAUCACAUAUUUAUAGACCCUUGUCAAGUUACAUUCUUUCUUUUGAAUGCCACACUCCUGAAACACAUUCAUUCUAACCCUGCUUUUUGUUUUUCUGGAUUCCACAAAAAUCUAUUAUUUGUAUUUAUCGCCAUGUUCCACAUUUUAAUUUAAUCUUUAUCAUUUUUUUCCUACCAAUCUGCAGAAUAUUCUCCCAAAUAAGUUGUUAAUUUUAAUGUUUAGCUUAGGACCUUUCUUGUCUCACCUAUCCUGCUGACAUUCUCAGACUCUUCAAUAUCUCAUUCAAUUUGAUACACAACAAUCACAGGUAAGGCAAUGGAUUUAGGGCUAAGUGGAUACAAACAUUUAUAAGAUAUGGCCCUUGCUUUCAUCAGGUAGUAUCAAAGAUUACAUUGAUGCACCUGUAAGAAACUAGAGUAGGGUGGUCACAUGCAUGGGCUCUGAAACCAAACUGCUUGGAUAUACCUGCCUUGACAUUUGCUAGCCGUGUGAUCUUGAGCAAAACUAACUCAACUCCUGUGUGACUAUUUCCUCAUUAUAAAAGAAGAAUGUUAAUAACAGUUUCCACUUUUUAGGAUUGUAGUGAUAAUUAGAUGAGUUAAUAUAGCUACAUUUCUUAGAACUGUCCCUGGUAAACAAAGCUCAGUGUAUUUGCUAUUAUUAUACACUUCUUUCUCAACUUUAAAAACCUUUGUAUUUACUUCUUUUCAAUUACCCAUAGGUGCACAGACACCUUGUAAAUUAUCAUCAUGUAAGGGGUCUUCUUGUCACCUUGUUCUCCUACUCUGCUAACCAUGGAGAUGUGGAUGGGCAAUAAUUCUUCCUUAUGUUCAUUCUUUCAUUCACUCAACAAUUAUUUAUUGUCUACUCUGUGCUAGGCUCUUUUAACAUUGAAGAUAUAAAGAUAAACAAGAUAGACAUAAAGUGUCUGGCCUCAUGAAGUUCUGCUAGAAGAGAGAAGCAUAUACAAAUAAAAUAAUAAAAAGGUAGUUAAAAAUGUGAUACCAGAUCUGUGAAGAAAAUGAAAGGGAUAUUGUGUUAAUAAAUUGCAGUAGGAAGAUCAUUCUUGAAUGAUCCAGACACAUCAUGAGCUUUUCAUCCUGACGAGAUUAGUGAAAAAGCCCAAGAAAGAAGAUGACCAAGAAGGAAACAAAAAGGGUUUGAUGUUUUAAGGAACAGAAUGAAGCCCUGUGAAUGAUAUAAAAUGAGAUGGGAGACCAGGCAAGAAAUCUACUUAUGUGAGUAAAUGGAGAUCAUGGUUUGGAGUUUGGAUUUUACUCUAACCAAAACAGGAAUUCAUUAAAAUUGGAUAUCCAUAAGCAGAAGAAGGAAACAGGGCUCCUACCUCUCAUCACAUACAAAAAAUCAAAUAAAAAGGGACGGAAGACUUAAAUAUAAGACCCAAAACUAUGAAACUACUAGAAGAAAACAUAAGGGAAACACUUCAGGCCAUUGGUCAGGGGAAAGCUUUUAUGAAGAAGACCUCAAAAACACAGAAAACAAAAAUAGACAAAUGAGAUUAUAUCAAACUGAAAAGCUUCUGCACAACAAAGGAAAUAAUCAACAAAGUGAAGAGACAACACACAGAAUGGGAGAAAACAUUUGCAAACUAUUCAUCCGACAGGGGUUAAAAACCAGACUAUACAAGAAACAAACAACUCAACAGCAAAAAUAAAUAAAUAAUAAUAAUAAUAAUAAUCUUGCCUGUAAUCCCGGCACUUUUGGAGGCCAAGGUGGGCGGAUCACGAGGUCAGGAGAUCAAGACCAUCCUGACUAACGCGGUGAAACCCCGUCUCUACUAAAAAAAAAAAAAAUGCAAAAAAUUAGCCCGGCGUAGUGGCAGGCGCCUGUAGUCCCAGCUACUCGGGAGGCUGAGGCAGGAGAAUGGCGUGAACCCAGGAGGCGGAGCUUGCAGUGAGCGGAGAUCGCGCCACUGCACUCCAGCCUGGGCGACAAAGCGAGACUCCGUCUCAAAAUACUAAUAAUAAUAAUAUCAUCAUCAUCAUCUUAUUUUAAAGUGAGCAAAUAAGCUGAACAGACAUUUCUCAUAAAAAGCGAUACAGAUGGCCAAGAAGCCCAUGAAAAAAUGUGCUACAUUAUGAAUCAUCAGGAAAAUGCAAAUCAAAACCACAAUGAGAUGUUAUUUCAUCCCCAUUUGAACGGCUAUAAUCAAAAAGACCAAAAAAUAACAAAUGCUGGUAAGGAUGUGGAGAAAAGGGAACUCUUACAUAUUGUUGGUGGGAAUGUAAAUUAGUUCAUCUAUUAUGAAAAAUGGUAUGAAGGUUCUUCAAAAAACUAAAAACAGAACUAACAUGUGAUCCAGCAAUCCUGUUACUGGGUAUGUAUCCAAAAAAAAAAAAAAAAAGGGACAUAAGUAUGUCAAAGACAUAUCGCUACUCCUGUGUUGAUUGCAGCACUAUUUGCAAUAGCCAAGAUAUGGAAACAAUCUAAGUGUCCAUCAAUGGAUGAAUAGAUAAAGAAUAGUGAAAUAUAUAGACACAAUGGAAUACUAUUCAGCCAUAAAGAACAAAAUCCUGUCACUUGAAGGAACAAGAAUGAGCUUGGAGGACAUUAAGUGAAAUAAACUGACUAAAAAUAAUAAUAAAAGCAAAAAAGAAAGACAUACCACACAUUCUCAUUCAUGUGGAUUAUAACAGCUGAUCUCAUAAAAGUUAAGAGUAGAAUAGUAAAGAGUAGAAUAGAUUACUAGAGGCUGGGAAGGAUAGUGGGGAGAGGGCAUAAGCAGAAAUUUAUUAACGGAUGCAAAAUUGCAGCUAAAUAGGAUUAAGUUCUAUUACAGUCACCCUACAGUGUUUUAUAGCACUGUAAGAUGACUAUAAUGAACAAUUUACUAUAUAUUUUCAAAUAGCCAGAAAAUCGGAUUUUGAAUGUUCUCAACACAAAGAAAUAAUAAAUGUUUGGAUGGAUAUGCUAAUUACCCUAAUUUGAUCAUUACACAUUGUAUACAUGUAUCAAAAUACUACACUGUACCCCCAUAAGUAUGUACAAUUGUUCUGUGUCAACUAAAAAUAAUAAUAAAAGCAAAAAAGAAUUCCUCAAAAAAAAAAAAACCACAAACAGGAAUCCAUUGAAGGGGUCUAAAUAUGGUCUCUGGGCCAGGAGGUGAACAGACUGCGGGGAGAAAAGUGAAAGUAGGAGUACCAACAGGAGGCCACUGCCAUUGUGAAGGCCAUGUAGAGGAGACAGGUGGACAAUUUAAGAUGUAUUCUUGAGGUAAAGCAGACAGUGCACCUUUCAAGUAAAUGCGUGAGCACCAUGAUGCUGAGAAGCUAUUUUCCCAGUGAACCAGGAAGUGAGGUAGGUAGAUGAGUCACCCAAGCGGGUGGGGAAGGAGGUGGUUGAAAUUGAUUUGUAUAUUUAUUUUAUAAAGUAAAUGAAUUAAGAGAAAAAAAUUGGAUCCUGAAUCUGAACUUAUUUACAAAUUAUUAUACCUUACCAAAAAGGUCUUUUAUGGACAAUACUAUAAAGACGGUAAUGUUUACUUUUAGCAUUACCAUCCACACCUUUAAAAUUAUUAAUAAUUUGUGAGAGUUUGCUGUAUACUAAGUACCCU
rnacentral:lncRNA from 10 species